GACAGAGGGUGCAAACGUUGUUCGGAAUUACUGGGCGUAAAGCGUGUGUAGGCGGUCUUGUAAGUCGGAUGUGAAAGCCCCGGGCUCAACCCGGGAAGUGCACUCGAUACUGCGAGACUUGAGUAUCGGAGAGGUUGGUGGAAUUCUCGGUGUAGAGGUGAAAUUCGUAGAUAUCGAGAGGAACACCGGUGGCGAAAGCGGCCAACUGGACGAAUACUGACGCUGAGACACGAAAGCGUGGGGAGCAAAC
rnacentral:rRNA from 1 species